GGAUUGUGGCUCAGUGGUAGAGCGCUCGCCUAACAUGUGCGAGGCCCUGGGUUUGAUCUUCAGCACCA
rnacentral:tRNA from 1 species